rnacentral:rRNA from 1 species
GGGCCCGCACAAGCAGUGGAUUAUGUGGUUUAAUUCGAAGCAACGCGAAGAACCUUACCAGGGCUUGACAUCCAACUAACGAAGCAGAGAUGCAUUAGGUGCCCUUCGGGGAAAGUUGAGACAGGUGGUGCAUGGUUGUCGUCAGCUCGUGUCGUGAGAUGUUGGGUUAAGUCCCGCAACGAGCGCAACCCUUAUUGUUAGUUGCUACGCAAGAGCACUCUAACGAGACUGCCGUUGACAAAACGGAGGAAGGUGGGGACGACGUCAAAUCAUCAUGCCCCUUAUAUCCUGGGCUACACACGUAAUACAAUGGCGCUUAACAGAGGGAAGCAAAGCCGCGAGGUGGAGCAAAUCCCUAAAAGGCGUCUCAGUUCGGAUUGCAGGCUGCAACUCGCCUGCAUGAAGUCGGAAUUGCUAGUAAUCGCGGAUCAGCAUGCCGCGGUGAAUACGUUCCCGGGCCUUGUACACACCGCCCGUCACACCAUGAGAGUCGGGAACACCCGAAGUCCGUAGUCUAACCGCAAGGGGGACGCGGCCGAAGGUGGGUUUGAUGAUUGGGGUGAAGUCGUAACAAGGUAGCCGUAUCGGAAGGUGCGGCU